rnacentral:rRNA from 1 species
GAACCUUACCUGGGCUCGAAGCGCAGUGGACCGGGAUAGAAAUAUCCCUUCCCCUUAAAAGGCUGCUGCGGAGGUGCUGCAUGGCUGUCGUCAGCUCGUGUCGUGAGAUGUUGGGUUAAGUCCCGCAACGAGCGCAACCCUUAUCCCUAGUUGCCACCGGGUCAAGCCGAGCACUCUAGUGAAACCGCACAGGAUAACUGUGAGGAAGGUGGGGAUGACGUCAAGUCCUCAUGGCCUUUAUGUCCAGGGCUACACACGUGCUACAAUGGCCGGUACAAACCGUCGCAAACCCGCGAGGGGGAGCUAAUCGGAAAAAGCCGGCCUCAGUUCGGAUUGGAGUCUGCAACCCGACUCCAUGAAGCUGGAAUCGCUAGUAAUCGCGGAUCAGAACGCCGCGGUGAAUACGUUCCCGGGCCUUGUCACACCGA